UGGCCGAUCUUCAAAGAGUGUCAAUUCUUGCUUUGCUCUUUCGAAAUUCGUAAUAAGAAAAGAGGAGUAAAUAAAAUAAAACUAACAUUUUUAUUUAAAAAGUUUUUUUUCAUUCGAGAUUGAAUAAAAUAAAAUAAACGUAAAGUUGAAUUUUAAACAUAUAGUGUCAAUGAUAUUUUUUUAAACAUUAAUUUUCAAUAUUAGUAAUGAGCUCAAAUUUCUUUAUUUCAUUCAAAUGUUCUAAUGAAAUGUUCUUUUAUGUAAUUUAAUUUUCGAUAUAUAUAUAUAUAUUACAAUCAUAAAAAUUACCAGCCAUAUAAUCAUAAACUCUAGUAUGACAAUAAUUAAAGAAGAAGAGUUCUAGAAAAAACGCGUGAAGUUAAAAUGUAAACAUGUUGGUUUCGAAUUGUUUGUAAUCCAUCAGAAAAAGCUCAAUUUUUGGAAGUUGAUCAAAGUAUGCCAAGGAAAUCCAUAUGGAAAAAGAAAUGAGAAUAGCUGUGUCAAAUAAGAAUUCUAUGUUUGCAAAGUUAUUUUUUUUAAAUAAGGCCUUAAAUUACUCUUUACAUGAUAAUUAAAGUUGUUGGUUUUAGGCACGCAUUAAACGAAAUGAUGAUCCAAAUGCUCUCUUUCUUCAUUGAAUCCAUGACUACCUUUUCAUACUGACUAUACUAAUAGAAUGAAGACAUUGACUGAAAUAAAAAUUACAAAUGCUUGAAAAGAAGUAUUUACUAAAUACCUACUUGAAAAAUCAAUCACUAAGUCAUCACUGGUUCUGGUACUUCUAAAGAUCUUCUACUACUUAAAGAUCUAAUGUUUAGAGGAUAUUCCUCAUCCUCUGGUUAUUUGAAUGGCCUUGUUCUUUACAAUUGCAUCAUAUAUACUGGAGAAAGAAAGCUGGAUUUUCAGAAGUUUAUCAAAGAAUGUCAGACAAUGAAUUUAGCUGUUUUGAAUACACAUUGAGCAAGAUGCAUGUGUUCCCAUUACUUUUCUUUCCUCUUGAGUUCAUGUCUUCUACCCUAAACUGACUACUCAGUAGGGAGGACCUGUGCAUAAAUGUGUUCUGGACUGAAAUUACAGCUGGUUUGCUUUUACAAUGAGGAUAACUACUGUGUUGAAAUCUAAAUUUUGUUUCCCUUUCUUUUAUUUUGCAUGGAUUUUCUGCAGAAAGUCAAAUUUCUCUCAAAGUAAUAUAUCACAGUGAUGCAAAUGCAAGUACCAAAAGUCUAUCAGCUCUCAGCUGGUCUAAUUUUUGGUAUCCAUUUAGUUAGUCAUUUUGUUGGAUUUAUUAUAAGAAAAGGAACUGUUUGAAAACACAGGUUUGCUUUUACAAUGAGGAUAAUAACUGUGUUGAAUCUAAAUGUUGUUUCCCUUUGUAUGGAUUUUCUGCAGAAAUUAAAACUACUCUUAAAGGUUUGAAGUUAACUUCAAGUGGAAAUAAAGUUUAAAUAAAUUUUUGUUUCUUUUUAAAAAGAAUGAUUUUCUUCAUUUUUUGCAGAAUUAAUUUUGUUUUAUUUCAAAUUUGAGCCAAUGUCUUGUAUUUUAUUUAGUUAAAUAAAGAUUAUUUUCAAAAUUAAA